UAAAUAUAUACCUGCCCUACAAUUCAGCAAUUCUACUUCUAGGUAUUUAUCUAAGAGGAAUGAAGGGAUGUGUCUACAGAAAGACUUUUAUAAAAUAUUUAUAGUAACUUCUUUCUUUUAUUAAGCCCCUUCCAUUCUAGUACAUAGUAGCUUUAUUAAUAAUAACCAACUCAAUAAUUCAAACAUCCAUCAUUGGGAGAACAGACAAGUAGCUUAUGAUAUAGUCAUACUAUAGAAACCAUUCAAAAAUAAAAAAUAAUGAACUAUUGAUACAGGCAAUAUUGAUAAAUCUCAAAAAUGUUAUGUUGAACAAAAUAAGCUAAACACGAAAUAGUGCAUACACUUUGCUUUCAUUUAUAUGAAGUUCACAAAAAGACAAAAGUUAUAUCCAGAGAUAGAAAGCAGACAGUGGUUUCUUGUGGUAGGUGGGUAUUGACCAGAAGGCAGAAGUGAUGAAAACGUUUUUGCAGCUGUACACAUUUGUCAAAACUCAUCAAAUUGUAUGCCGCAGAUCUAUGCAUUUCUUUAUAAGUAAUUUUAGCUCAACAAAAUGAGCGAGAAGCAUAUUUAGCUACUCUUUUGUAAUUAUUCAUUAGCACAAAUAACCAGGAUUGACCUCAGAUGUUUUUGGAAUCUGAGAUGUCAAUCACAAGCCAAGAACAUUUCUAAACACAUCAAUUUGAAAAGAAGGAAACAAAUUGUCUUGGAAGCUAUUUUGUGCCCUUAGAAACUCUUGAAUUCCAUGAGAGUGCGUUUUUCUAGAUGAGGUCAUGGGCAUUUUCAGAGUCAUCAUAAAUUAGCCCGAGUGUCUGAAGAGGUCAUGCGGGGACAAGGGGAAGUUCCAGAACUUCUUAUUCUCACAGACUUUCCUUUCAUAAAGAAUCUUUCCUGGAAUUUAGGAUCUUGACACCUCCAGGUCUGUAGCUCAGUAACCACUAAAGAGCUUGGCUAUAAUCCUUUUCCCUGAAAGGCCUUGUCAGGAAGUGCCAAACAUCACCUGAAGGCAGCAGGAGGUAGAAGAGUGUGUGGAAAGGAGUUCUGUAUGCAGCUGAAGGGUAACAUCCCUUGGGAGCUUUUGCCUUGUCUGGCUGACGCCUUGGCAAUCGCAAGUGACAGUGACGGAGAGCCACCUCCUCUGGAAUGCAUCAUGGAACAGAAAGGGAAAAGCCAGGCAUUUGUAGUCCUCCUGCCACAGAUGACCAGAAUGACCUCACCCAGGACAAACGGCGACAGAUUUAGGAAUUCAAGCCAGCUUUUCUGACUCCCAGGCACCUGCUCUCUCCUUUCGAGUGUUCGACUCCACUCUCAGUCACUCGUCACUCUUCCCAGAAGGACAAAUGUGCAGCUUCUAUGUCUUGGAUUUCAAAUAAAAGACGAGGAACUUGGUGAAAUGAGGUGGUCUUUGCCUUCCGCGUCACUCUCUGCUCCUCCUGGCAAGAGGCCCCAUUUUUCUUGCCACUGAGGUUAAGUGAAAACAAAACAAAACAAACAAACAAAAAAGAGGCCCCAUUCACAGUAAAGAUAAACAGCAGCCUGGGCAGGCCAGCGGCUCUUCCCUGACGUGGAAUUAUGAGCCCUCUUUCUUCGAUUUUGCCACAUACCCGCAGCUGCACUCCCAUAAUCUGAAAGCUGUCCCUUUAAUUUUUACCACUUCAUUAUUAGAAUUGGAGUAGAAUGAAAAUUAAUUUUUCCCUGAGCUAUUUUUGUGUCCCUUGAGUUAACCAGAAAUACCAACCCUGGAAAGAGAUGUGGGGGACAGUCAUUUUAGAGAGCGGACACCACUGCUGAAGAAGAAGGAUAUCCCGGUUGGCUGCUCUAGAGCCGGCAGGACGGAUGCUGAGGUUGUUCGCAGCAGCGUGUGUGCAGAGCCCCCGGGAUCUUGCAGACUGGGAUUUGUCAGGGCAGGUGUGGACAUUGAGGCUAUUUCUAACAAGCUCCUACAUGAUGCUGGGGCUGCAGAGCCCCAGGCCGCACUUGGAGUAUGAGAGUUUCCAGGGAGUGAAGCCCCGGCUGCUCUCUCUGCCCCCUCUCCAUCUGCCCCCUGGGUGAGGACAGGACUCCCAUCCCUCCAGUGCACAGUGAGUGCUGCUCAAUCUGCAUCCACAGCGGUUUGUGCCCAGAUGCUUCCUCACUCAGCGUCUAACAGGGUGCAGUGGAAACGUCAUUGACUGGAGGAAAGGUGUGUGGGUGAGAAACGUUUGUCGGUUGAGUAACUUUUUGUCGUUAUUUUUUUUCUCUGAUGUUCAAAGUAAGAGAAAACUCAUCUGGCCCCUGGAGCCCAUGUGAGCAACAUGAAAGAUAAAGGGAAAAGGGGGCUGAUAAAGAUGUGGACCGAGUCUGAGAUAAGAUUCUUUGCCCCUUGGGUGAAUCCAGGUGAAGUUGUUUUACUCUUAGCCCAGCCAGCCCUGGAUAAAGGCUUCAUCCCUCUUCUCUUUCCUGUCCAUAUAUCAGAACUUUAAGCUCUACUUGUACCCAGUGAAGAUUAGAAUAACGCACGGAGCACAGGAAAUGUCUAGGUGAUGAUUUCACUGAGCUUUACAAGGGACACAGGUACGCAUCAAGAGCUUGGGCCACUGGGUAAAGAGGGAUCUGGUUCUUGCUCUAACGCGGUUCAUCUUCUGUGUCAGAAUCAGAUAGAUUCUGGGUGUCAGAGACCCGAAUCUUCCUCUUGUUCCGCUCACUGCCCCCCUGUGGCCCCUUCUCAUUUCAAAUGCUCUGUCUGUAAUAUGAAAUGAAAAGAAUUCCUCCCAGACCCCUAGCCAAAUUUCACCUUAAGCUCGUUGACUCCCAGAGGAAAUCUCUGUGGGAGACUGGAAAGAGGACGCUGGAGCCAGAGGCUAUCUUUGAUAGUGAGGUGAGGUUUACUGUUUAAUAAGAACUCCAAAGAUAUGCCUAAUAUUGAAGGUUGUCUCUCGCUUCCUUGGGAAACCCAAACCAGAAGUUUAGGCCGUAUAGAAAGUAAGUGGUUUGGGUGCAAAAGGGAUGUAGAACAUCCCUUUUAAUGGUAUCAUAGAAUAUGAGAACUAGAAGAGAGCUCAAAGAUCAUUUAGGCCAACCUCUACAUUUUAUAGAUAAGAACACUGGGCCUGUGGUCAUUCCACAAGUUUGUGGCAAGCCUUGGAUUACAACAGAUCACCAGGUUCCCUGACUCCUAGUUCAGUGCUUUUCCAACACCCAGAAUCAUAAUCUUCAGGAAGGAGCGUGCUUUUCACCUAUCUGUUGAAGGUUAUCUCUUAC
rnacentral:lncRNA from 10 species